ACUGCUCAGUAACACGUGGACAACCUACCCUUCGGUCCGGCAUAAUCCUGGGAAACUGGGGAUAAUUCCGGAUAGGCCACAGAUGUUGGAAUGCACUGUGGUCCAAAGCUCCGGCGCCGAAGGAUGGGUCUGCGGCCUAUCAGGGUUGUAGUGGGUGUAACGUACCUACUAGCCUACGACGGGUACGGGUUGUGAGAGCAAGAGCCCGGAGAUGGAUUCUGAGACACGAAUCCAGGCCCUACGGGGUGCAGCAGGCGCGAAAACUUUACAAUGCGGGAAACCGUGAUAAGGGAAUCUCGAGUGCCAGCAUAUAAUGUUGGCUGUCCAGAUGCCUAAAAAGCAUCUGUUAGCAAGGGCCGGGCAAGACCGGUGCCAGCCGCCGCGGUAACACCGGCGGCCCGAGUGGUAACCGUUUUUAUUGGGUCUAAAGGGUCUGUAGCCGGCCAUGUAAGUCCCUUGGGAAAUCUGGCAGCUCAACUGUCAGGCUGCUAGGGGAUACUGCUUGGCUUGGGACCGGGAGAGGUGAGAGGUACCUUGAGGGUAGGGGUGAAAUCUUGUGAUCCUCGGGGGACCACCAGUGGCGAAGGCGUCUCACCAGAACGGGUCCGACGGUAAGGGACGAAAGCUAGGGGCACGAACCGGAUUAGAUACCCGGGUAGUCCUAGCCGUAAACGAUGCUCGCUAGGUGUCAGUCACGGUGCGACCGUGAUUGGUGCCGUANGGAAGCCGUGAAGCGAGCCACCUGGGAAGUACGGCCGCAAGGCUGAAACUUAAAGGAAUUGGCGGGGGAGCACUACAACGGGUGGAGCCUGCGGUUUAAUUGGAUUCAACGCCGGAAAUCUCACCGGGGGCGACAGCAAUAUGAAGGUCAGGCUGAAGANCUUACCGGAUUAGCUGAGAGNUGGUGCAUGGCUGUCGUCAGUUCGUACUGUGAAGCAUCCUGUUAAGUC
rnacentral:rRNA from 1 species